rnacentral:rRNA from 1 species
UACGUAGGCAGCGAGCGUUGUUCGGAGUUACUGGGCGUAAAGGGUGCGUAGGCGGUUGUUUAAGUUUGGUGUGAAAUCUCCCGGCUCAACUGGGAGGGUGCGCCGAAUACUGAAUGACUAGAGUGCGGGAGAGGAUAGUGGAAUUCCUGGUGUAGCGGUGAAAUGCGUAGAUAUCAGGAGGAACACCUGCGGUGUAGACGGCUUUCUGGACCAUUGCUGACGCUGAGACACGAAAGCGUGGGUAGCAAACAGG